CGCUGGCGGCAUGCCUAAGACAUGCAAGUCGAACGAGACGGCCCAAUGAAGAUGGAGUGCUUGCACAAAGUUGGAUUUGGUUUCCCGUCUAGUGGCGCAAGGGUGAGUAACACGUGGGUAAUCUACCUUCGAGUCUGGAAUAACAGUUAGAAAUGAUUGCUAAUGCCGGAUGAUAUGUAAGAAGAUAUACUUCAUACAUUAAAAGGUGCCUCAAAGCAUCGCUUGAAGAUGAGCCUGCGCCGUAUUAGCUAGUUGGUGGGGUAAUGGCCUACCAAGGCGACGAUCCAUAACCGGCCUGAGAGGGUGGACGGCCACAUUGGGACUGAGACACGGCCCAGACUCCUACGGGAGGCAGCAGUGGGGAAUAUUGGACAAUGGGGGAAACCCUGAUCCAGCGAUGCCGCGUGAGGGAAGAAGGUCUUCGGAUUGUAAACCUCUUUCAGCAGGGAAGAAGAAAGUGACGGUACCUGCAGAAGAAGUCACGGCUAACUACGUG
rnacentral:rRNA from 1 species